CUCGUUGUGUUUAAGAAUAUAAUUAAGCAUAGGAAAAGAAACUCACAAGGUUUCCCCUAGUAACAGUGAGUGAACUGGGAAGAGACCAGCAUGAAAAUCGGGUGGCAACGCCGCCUAAAUUGUAGUCUGUAUAAGCGUCCUUAGCGGGGAACUGGGCCCAAGUCCCCUAGAAGGGGGUGCCUAAGAGGGUGACAUCCCCAUCGGGUCAGGACCCUCUUGCACCAUGAGGCGUUGUCGGCGAGUUGGGUUGUUUUUUAAUGCAGCCCUAAUCGGGUGGUCAAUUCCAUCCAAGGAUAAAUACAGGAAAUAGACCGAUAGCAAACAAGUACCGCAAGGGAAAGAUGAAAAGGAAUUUGAAAAUAGAUUUAAAGAGUGCUUCAAAUUGUUGGGAGGGAAGCGUAUGGAGGCCGACGAUGCAUCUUGAUCGGAUGUGGAACAGCUCAAGUUGGUCUGCUGCUCGACUCAAGGUGUGAACCAACAUAGGCUGUUGCAUCAGCACAAGUGCGGGUGGAGUACUUCCUGUUGGUUUGUCGUUGUGGCGGUCGAGGAGAAGAGAAAUCAAGGGAUUCCACCAACACUCAUUUAAAUUUAUUUUUAAUCGUUUUCCAGUACUUCUUUUAGUUUGUUGAUAUUGAGCUUUCACAUGAGGUAGUUUAUAUCUAU
rnacentral:ncRNA from 1 species